AAUAAAAAAUGUCAUUGUUUAACAAAUCUGAAUUUACAUUUAUUAUUUUUUAAAAAAAUUAUUGUUUGCUAUACUUUUGAAAUUCAUUAUUACUCUCUCAUGUACUAACUCCUACUAUCAACUUUCCUUUUGGCAUAAACCAAUAAACUUAAAAAAUAAAAUAAAAACAAACCCCCUCUACGUACUAACAAUAAACCAAUAAAAUGCAUCACCCACGUUACUAAAAAUUUUUAACAUUUUCAUUCACCAGGAGUCAAAAAUACAUUGACAUGACUUCGAAAGCUAAGGAUUCCAAGCUUGAGAUCCCUUAACAUGCACUCACAAAAUCCAUUAUUAGGUCAGGACUCUCGAGAACUAAUAAUUCUAUGACGAUUAAUCGGACUAACAACUAACAAAUGAAAAUGAAACAAAUUGAACUAAAAGAUCCGAACCCGGCGC
rnacentral:lncRNA from 1 species